rnacentral:rRNA from 1 species
GUUGGUGGAGUGAUUUGUCUGGUUUAUUCCGAUAACGAACGAGACCGCUUUCUGCUAAAUAGAUUGCUUCUGGCAACAGGAGUGAAUCUUCUUAGAGAGACUGCCCACGCAAGUGGGAGGAAGUUGGCGGCAAUAACAGG